AUUGAACGCUGGCGGCAGGCCUAACACAUGCAAGUCGAACGGUAACAGGAAGAAGCUUGCUUCUUUGCUGACGAGUGGCGGACGGGUGAGUAAUGUCUGGGGAACUGCCUGAUGGAGGGGGAUAACUACUGGAAACGGUAGCUAAUACCGCAUAACGUCGCAAGACCAAAGAGGGGGACCUUCGGGCCUCUUGCCAUCGGAUGUGCCCAGAUGGGAUUAGCUUGUUGGUGGGGUAACGGCUCACCAAGGCGACGAUCCCUAGCUGGUCUGAGAGGAUGACCAGCCACACUGGAACUGAGACACGGUCCAGACUCCUACGGGAGGCAGCAGUGGGGAAUAUUGCACAAUGGGCGCAAGCCUGAUGCAGCCAUGCCGCGUGUAUGAAGAAGGCCUUCGGGUUGUAAAGUACUUUCAGCGGGGAGGAAGGGAGUAAAGUUAAUACCUUUGCUCAUUGACGUUACCCGCAGAAGAAGCACCGGCUAACUCCGUG
rnacentral:rRNA from 1 species